AGUCGAAAUUGUUCAUCCCUCGGUUCCGUCGGGUCAGGCUCCUAAUCACAGAGAGCAUGCCUACAUUUUAAAAUAGCCUAUAAAUAACAUUUCUAAGUAGAAUACAAAAUGUACGAACAAAAUAUAAUGAGGAAAAUACUAUGAAAAAGUUAAAAGUCAAGUUUGCUUAGGGUUUGUUCAAGAACUCUUCCAGAGUUUUUACCUAAAACAACACAAAUCAACACAAAUGAAUGAGAAGAUAACUCAAAUGUGCUGUAUGUCAUAAUGAAACAUCCAAAGACUAUCAACACGGUCUGACACGAAUGACACAUGACAUGCAAACUGAAUUUAUGACUAAACUAUUUGAUUCGUGCACGAAGCGCCAUCUAGCUAUCAUUAUGUGUAAGUAACAGCGUCCCAGUCUGAGGAAUCAGCGGUCUUUUUGCCGCCUCUGCCGCGUUUUAACCCUUUGCAGACGGCACGCUGUAAAAUCCAUAGACCUAAAAGAAAUGGACAAACAGACUCCGUCGUUCUCAAUGAGAGGGGGCUGAAACAAAAAAUCGUUUCCUGUUCAUCGUACUGCGCAGACUCAAACUCAUUUUGUGACGUUGGCCGCCCUGAACAUUGCUGUAACUCGUCUGAUAGAUGUUCAUACAGAUAUUUUGCCAUUCGACCUCGACUGACUGCGAUUUCUUGGAUCUUGUAAGUACAAUCUGAUUCUUUUUUAAACAUAUUUUUAGUCUUUGUCUGAAUCACUCAUUUCUUGCAAAAUGGUAUUUCUGUACUGUUAAGUCGAUGAUCACGUUUUUAAAAACCUACAUCGAAUAGAUUAAUAAAGCGUUAGACUCGCUAAAGUCUAGCUAUGGCUAAAGUCUGAAGUGGAUAGCAAAAGAAAACCGUUAGAGGCAGUUAACGACCGUCAGUAUUUAUCAGUAUUUAUCAGUAGAUUGUAAAUUAUUAGAAGUGUUAUAUCCUUUAGUAGUGUUUGUACUCUAGGCGCCAGUUAGCAUGUAACAGCAUGUGAAUGAAUGAACUGGCCACACUAGCAUGGUGCAUUUAUACCUGACGAUCUCUUUCAAGACAUUUGAAUAAAAAACGGACAUCAUGGUUAGUAUUUAUAGGGUCUGUACAUGUGGUCCCUAGCCUGGUUUGUCUGAGAAUUAAGUAGAAAUAUCCUUCAGAAGUGUUUGUACUUUAGGCGCUAGUUAGCAUGUAACAGCAUCUGAAUGAAUGAACUGACCACUACUGUAUGGUGCAUUUAUACCUGACGAUCUCUUUCAAGUCAUUUAAAUAAAACAUGGAUAUCAUGGUUAGUAUUUGUAGAGUCUGUAAAUGUGGUCCCUUGCUUGGUUUGUCUGAAAAUUAAGUGGAAAUAUCCUUUAGAAGUGUUUGUACUUUAGGCGCUAGUUAGCAUGUGCCAGGUGUCAUACCACUGCAGUAAUCAUCUCACUAAACACGUCUUUUCAUAUCCAAUCUGUUCAACAGAGUUUACCAGUCAGACCACUACACCUUUGCCAGCACCACCACCCAGCAAGCUUCAUCAACUCCAGCCAUGCCGAGUUUACCAAUCAGACCUACACCUCCGUCAAAUUCGCUCACAGCGCUGCCAAUAACACCCCAGCAAGAUUUUUACAGACUUGUUCUGCAGCACUUCCGAACAAUUGAGGAGGAGCUGGGGUAAAGCAGCAGGUGGCUGUGAACACAUCUAUGCUGCAGAAGCUAGGUGGUGGUGGUGUGGCGGAUCUUGGCCUCGUGGAGGACAACAACAGGCCAUUGAGUAAUGUUGAGGACCUGGACGAGUUGGAGAGGCGGCUUGCAUUCGAUGCGGACCUGAAAAAUCAACUGGUGAACAUACUUGGGAGGGAAAACCACCGAGAUGCUGUUAAGAGGAUGCUGGGCCGGGCUUUGAGGAGGUCCCUGGCGCUCCAAAUUAAUUAGACUGGUGCAGCAGGAAAGGUGGCUUUUAAGUCCUUACACCUGAAGAGUGUGUUGCAUAUUAAUAUCAUUAUUAAAAAUAAUUUUAAUAAAUUGUUUAAGCAUGUAGAAGAAAUAAAGCAUGUAAAUGAGCAUGUAAAAGAAAUAAAUAAACAAAAUGUAUUGAACCUAAUACUAUGUGUGGUGAGUCUGUGUGAUAGUUGCUGAGGAUAAAUGUUUUUAUAUUGGAUUAUUAAAUUACAGAAUACAUUUAUAGGUUUCUCAUCAGCAGGCACUGUCUUCACCUUAGUAAAUUUGGUAACUUUGGUAAGCCCUGUAAAUAAUUGUAAAUUGUUCUGAUUGAGGGCAAAUGGAAAGUGUUAUAAUGUAUUAUUGCUAUAUUUUAGUACAUAAUUUUAAUUAUUAAGGCCAUAAAUAAGGCCAAUUAGAAGCUGGUGGGUAGUAAGCGGCAAAAGGGUGGCCCUUUAUCUGGAGCCGCUUCUGAGCCGCCGGUGGACCGCUAGAGAACCGAUGAGCAAAACUCCAGCGGGCCACUGGUGGGUACCGCCGUUGGACCGCCAACUCUGCCGCUGGUGGGCCGCCAGUGGGCCACUGACCUAUUGCUAUCUGGGUGUCUGUACUGUGACACAAUAUCAAAGCAACACACACAGAUAAAUA